UACGAAGGGGGCGAGCGUUGUUCGGAUUUACUGGGCGUAAAGGGCGCGUAGGCGGCCUUGUCAGUCAGGCGUGAAAGCCCCGGGCUCAACCUGGGAACGGCGCUUGGGACGGCGAGGCUGGAGUUCGGGAGAGGAGAGUGGAAUUCCCAGUGUAGAGGUGAAAUGCGCAGAUAUCAGGAGGAACACCAAUGGCGAAGGCAGCUCGCUGGAACGGUACUGACGCUGAGGCGCGAAAGCGUGGGGAGCAAACAGG
rnacentral:rRNA from 1 species